AUUUAAAUAAUUUAAAUAAAAAUAUUGAUUUGUGGUAUCAAAAAUAUGAUAGUAAUUCAUUUUAAAUU
rnacentral:tRNA from 1 species